GACGAACGCUGGCGGCGUGCUUAACACAUGCAAGUCGAACGGAAAGGCCCUGCUUUUGUGGGGUGCUCGAGUGGCGAACGGGUGAGUAACACGUGAGUAACCUGCCCUUGACUUUGGGAUAACUUCAGGAAACUGGGGCUAAUACCGGAUAGGAGCUCCUGCUGCAUGGUGGGGGUUGGAAAGUUUCGGCGGUUGGGGAUGGACUCGCGGCUUAUCAGCUUGUUGGUGGGGUAGUGGCUUACCAAGGCUUUGACGGGUAGCCGGCCUGGGGGGGUGAACGGGCCAAUUGGGACUGGGAUAACGGCCAAACUCCUACGGGAGGCAGCAGUGGGGAAUAUUGCACAAUGGGCGGAAGCCUGAUGCAGCAACGCCGCGUGCGGGAUGACGGCCUUCGGGUUGUAAACCGCUUUCGCCUGUGACGAAGCGUGAGUGACGGUAAUGGGUAAAGAAGCACCGGCUAACUACGUG
rnacentral:rRNA from 1 species